ensembl:lncRNA
CGUGAAGCCAGAAGAAGUGCUUUUGUACCAGAGCAAGACGUCUCAUCAAGCCAACAAGUAUCCACCUUCAAGCCAUGUGCAUCUGUUGGACAUCAGGAUGAAGAAUGGAAAUUUGUCCUUGGCCCUGCAGGAUGUGAUGCUGCCUGAGACUGGAACAUAUGAGUGUCAGGCCAUCGACAAAGGAAGACACCAGUGGAAGACUCCCAUUGAGAACGCUGACACCAUCAACACCAUCAACACCAUCCAGCUGAUAAUUGAUCGAGAGGCUCCAGCACUGACAGCUGGCGAGAGGCGGUUUGCU